rnacentral:rRNA from 1 species
GUAGGGAAUAUUGCGCAAUGGGGGAAACCCUGACGCAGCGACGCCGCGUGAGUGAUGAAGGCCUUCGGGUCGUAAAGCUCUGUUGCAGGGGAAUAAAAAAAUGAAGGUACCCUGUGAGGAAGGAUCGGCUAACUUCGUGCCAGCAGCCGCGGUAAGACGAGGGAUCCUAGCGUUGCUCGGAAUCAUUGGGCGUAAAGAGGGCGUAGGUGGCUUGGUAAGUCAGGUGUGAAAGCCCAGGGCUCAACCCUGGAAGUGCAUUUGAUACUGCUGAGAUUGAGUGUCGGAGAGGUUACCGGAAUACCUGUUGUAGUGGUGAAAUACGUAGAUAUCAGGUGGAACACCGGAGGCGAAGGCGGGUAACUGGACGAACACUGACACUGAGGCCCGAAAGCGUGGGGAUCAAACAGGAUUAGAAACCCCUGUAGUCC